rnacentral:tRNA from 1 species
UCCGCGGUAGCUCAGUUGGUAGAGCAGGUGGCUGUUAACCACCGGGUCGUAGGUUCGAGUCCUACCCGCGGAGCCA